CACAAAAAUACAAAAACAAAAAAUCCAAAAAAAAUUGUCUUGUUUUGCUUUGUUUAAAGCGUCUUGUAUGUUGGUAUGGCGGGUCUUCUCUGGGGAGAAGGAGACUAACGCGUUCCAACAUACAAAACCAGGAAAAGACGACAUGGAAACACCGAGAGAAGGAAGGGAAAGAAGGGAACACCAGAAAAAGGAAAAUGAAGAGAAGUAACACUAGAAGAAGGCAUAUGAAGUAACACAAGAAGAAGGAAGUUGAAAAGAGUAACACAAGAAAAGGAAUUUGAAAAGAGUAACACAAGAAGAAGGUUCUGAUAAGAGUAACACAGAAGAAGGUAUUGAAAAGGGUUACACAGAGGAAGGUAUUGAAAAGAGUAACACAGAAGAAGGUAUUGAAAAGAGUUACACAGAAGAAGGUAUUGAAAAGAGUAACACAGAAGAAGGUAUUGAAAAGAGUUACACAGAAGAAGGUAUUGAAAAGAGUAACACAGAAGAAGGUAUUGAAAAGAGUAACACAGAAGAAGGUAUUGAAAAGAGUUACACAGAAGAAGGUAUUGAAAAGAGUAACACAGAAGAAGGUAUUGAAAAGAGUAACACAGAAGAAGGUAUUGAAAAGAGUAACACAGAAGAAGGUAUUGAAAAGAGUAACACAGAAGAAGGUAUUGAAAAGAGUUACACAGAAGAAGGUAUUGAAAAGAGUUACACAGAAGAAGGUAUUGAAAAGAGUAACACAGAAGAAGGUAUUGAAAAGAGUUACACAGAAGAAGGUAUUGAAAAGAGUUACACAGAAGAAGGUAUUGAAAAGAGUUACACAGAAGAAGGUAUUGAAAAGAGUUAGACAGAAGAAGGAAUUUGAAAAGAGUAACACAAGAAGAAGGAAU